rnacentral:tmRNA from 1 species
GGGGGCGACAGGCAUCGAUCUAGCCUUUGAUCUGAGUGUGGCAUGUGGAGGUUGUCGGGAGGCCCUCCUUAAACACCUGGCAAAAACAUAAACGCUAAAAACACGAACCUAGUGCAUGUGCCCUUCGCAGGGUUCAUGGCGUUACCGCUAGCCGCCUAAUAACGGCUGCCGUCUGCUCAUCCUCGUCUGCGGGAUGAGGCCAGGCGUCGACAGCAGGCUGGUUAAUCCCGCGUGCCUUUGGCGUGGUUAACGAGACGCGCAGAGGGCUCAACUCUUGGGAUUGUGUCCGCUCAAAGCCCGAAGAGGAAAUGAAAAACGGACUAAGCAUGUAGAAACUUCAGACCUCAAUUGUUAGAGACGCGAGUUCGAAU